AGAGUUUGAUCCUGGCUCAGGAUCAACGCUGGCGGCGUGCCUAACGCAUGUAAGUCGCACGGGCUGCCUUCGGGCAGUCAGUGGCGAACGGCUGAGGAACACGUACGAACCUGCCCUGCGCUGGGGAAUAACGCAGCGAAAGCUGUGCUAAUACCGCGUACGCUUGGCGCAAGCUAAGGAAAGCCGCAAGGCGGCGCAGGAGGGGCGUGCGGCCCAUCAGCUUGUUGGCGGGGUAAUGGCCCACCAAGGCGACGACGGGUAGCCGGCCUGAGAGGGUGACCGGCCACACUGGGACUGAGACACGGCCCAGACUCCUACGGGAGGCAGCAGUGGGGAAUAUUGCACAAUGGGCGCAAGCCUGAUGCAGCGACGCCGCGUGAGGGAUGAAGGCCUUCGGGUUGUAAACCUCUUUCAGUAGGGAAGAAGCGAAAGUGACGGUACCUGCAGAAGAAGCACCGGCUAACUACGUGCCAGCAGCCGCGGUAAUACGUAGGGUGCAAGCGUUGUCCGGAACUAUUGGGCGUAAAGAGCUCGUAGGCGGUUUGUCGCGUCUGCUGUGAAAACUCGGGGCUUAACCCCGGGCCUGCAGUGGGUACGGGCAGACUAGAGUGCGGUAGGGGAGACUGGAAUUCCUGGUGUAGCGGUGAAAUGCGCAGAUAUCAGGAGGAACACCGGUGGCGAAGGCGGGUCUCUGGGCCGUAACUGACGCUGAGGAGCGAAAGCGUGGGGAGCGAACAGGAUUAGAUACCCCCGUAGUCC
rnacentral:rRNA from 1 species